CCGUGGGCCACCCGCUCCCACCGGCGGGCGCUCAUCUGAAAGGAUGGGAGUA
rfam:Hyphomonadaceae bacterium TKL13-1, complete genome.